CGGGGGGAUGCGCGCUGGGGCUGUGGGGCGGGGCGGGCGGCGGCCGCGGGAGCGGCGCCGGGGGCGGGCGGCGGCAUGAGGCGCGGGGCCGGCGGCCGCGGGAGGGCGGCGCGGCUCGCGGCCCGGUCGCUCCCGCCGCAGCUGCUGGCCCGCACGCUGUGCCCUGACAGCUGGGCCUCGGCCGCUCUCGUCUCAGCCGCGUCCCGCGCCGCCGCAGGUGACCACUCGCCGCGCCGCCGGAGGCUUCACCCGCGUCCUCCCUCAGGACGCGCCCGCGGAGCUCGGGCGCCUUCGCCCCGGACCCGGAGGCCGCGCUGCGCGGGGCGGCGGCGAGGCCGGAAGAUGGCCUGGGUGCUCAGUAUGGACGAGGUGAUCGAGUCCGGGCUGGUGCACGACUUCGACUCCAGCCUGUCCGGCAUCGGGCAGGAGCUGGGCGCCGGCGCCUACAGCAUGAGUGAUGUGUUGGCAUUGCCCAUUUUCAAGCAAGAAGAUUCCAGUCUUUCCUUGGAAGAUGAGGCCAAGCACCCCCCCUUCCAAUAUGUAAUGUGUGCUGCAACUUCGCCAGCCGUUAAGCUGCACGACGAGACACUUACUUACUUGAACCAAGGCCAGUCUUAUGAAAUUCGGAUGCUGGAUAAUCGCAAAAUGGGAGACAUGCCUGAGCUCAGUGGGAAGUUGGUAAAGAGCAUCAUAAGGGUGGUGUUCCAUGACAGGCGGCUACAGUACACAGAACAUCAGCAGCUUGAAGGCUGGAAGUGGAAUCGUCCAGGAGACAGGCUUCUCGAUUUAGAUAUUCCAAUGUCUGUGGGAAUAAUUGACACAAGGACAAAUCCAAGCCAGUUAAAUGCAGUUGAAUUUCUGUGGGACCCUGCAAAGCGCACAUCUGCCUUCAUUCAGGUACAUUGUAUCAGCACAGAAUUCACCCCGCGUAAGCAUGGAGGUGAAAAAGGAGUGCCUUUCAGGAUCCAGGUUGACACCUUUAAGCAGAAUGAAAACGGGGAAUACACAGAUCAUCUUCACUCAGCCAGCUGCCAAAUCAAAGUCUUUAAGCCUAAAGGUGCAGACAGAAAACAAAAAAAUGACCGAGAAAAGAUGGAGAAGAGAACAGCUCAUGAAAAAGAAAAGUACCAGCCAUCUUACGACACCACCAUUCUCACAGAGAUGAGGCUUGAGCCUAUAAUUGAAGAUGCAGUUGAACAUGAGCAGAAAAAGUCCAGCAAGCGGACUUUGCCAGCAGACUACGGUGAUUCUCUGGCAAAGCGAGGCAGUUGUUCUCCAUGGCCCGACACCCCUACAGCCUAUGUGAACAACAGCCCUUCCCCAGCGCCCACUUUCACCUCCUCACAACCGAGCACGUGCAGUGUCCCAGACAGCAAUUCUUCAUCCCCAAAUCACCAGGGAGAUGGAGCUGCACAAGCGUCUGGGGAACAAAUUCAGCCUUCAGCUACAACCCAGGAAACACAGCAGUGGCUGCUCAAAAACAGGUUCUCUUCCUACACAAGACUGUUCUCUAAUUUUUCAGGUGCCGACUUAUUAAAGCUGACAAAGGAGGAUUUAGUUCAGAUUUGUGGUGCAGCCGAUGGAAUUCGGCUCUAUAAUUCCCUGAAGUCAAGGUCGGUUAGGCCCCGCUUAACCAUCUAUGUCUGCCAGGAGCAGCCGAGUAGCACCGCGCUGCAAGGGCAGCCACAAGCUGCAGGCAGUGGAGGUGAAAGUGGCGGUGGGACGCCCUCCGUUUAUCAUGCAAUCUACUUGGAAGAAAUGGUUGCCUCAGAAGUUGCUCGAAAACUUGCCUCCGUGUUUAAUAUUCCUUUCCACCAAAUUAACCAGGUUUACAGACAGGGCCCCACUGGUAUCCACAUUCUUGUUAGUGACCAGUAAAAGGUACUUUUCAUGUAUGUGCCUUGGUGUGUUGUGAUCAUGAAGGACACUGUGCCCCGAUUAGAAGCUCUCAUCUGAAAAUAAUGAUGGUAUUCACAUAAUUUUGAAGUGAUACCUUAAACGGACUGAACUCUAUCCAGUACCAAAUAAAGUCAUGCUUAAAAGUGUGUGAAGACUGAAUCCAAGAAGUCUUGGGAUUGGAUUUUACUGUGAAAUGUUUCAUAUUGAAAACACAAGAUGACCUUCCUAAGGAGCUGCAGGAGAGGCAAAUCUCCUCAGUGUCACUGCCACAGCCCCAGCAUCCUCGUGAGAGAGAGAGAGAGAGAGAGAGAGCCUGUGCGAGCGAGCGAGCAUGUCAGGUGACAUUCGACCCAGCUUCUACCGUGGUGGGCACAAGUACUUGCUUCCCUGGCAAGGGCCAGUGGACAGAACCCCCCAGAGCAGUUGCUGCUGCUUUUCACACUGUAUGCAGUUUGAAUUGAAUGUAAAACUCAACCGUGGGCAUUUACCUUUCUGUGCCAGUUUGGCUUUUGUUGCCUGAACCUUAUGCUGGCCUGGGGAGGAGAUAGAGUUGCCUCUGGGGGAGCUGCUCUGUACUGGGUGACACGGCCGUAUGGGUCAGGUAAGAGGCUUAGCUCCUUCCUGAAGGUGGACAUCAGAGGGGUCCUGCUAGACCCGAGCCGAGCCGAGCCGAGCCGAGCAGAUGAGCAGACUGCACUCCCUGUCAGCCAUUCCGUGUGCGAGGUCAGUGUAAGUCCUAAUAGGUACCGAGGCUUGGGCGUUUGGCUUGGGCUUCCAGUUUUAGCAUUUUAGUUUCUGGAUUUCACCUUUGAAACCUCCUUGCCUUUUAAACUCAUGUGGUUUCCUUUUCUCGUCUCCCCACCCCCUACUUGAGCCUCCAGGUGUGUAUACUCCCUUGUCUUGUGCCUACUCUGUUCUUAAACAUGUCUAAAGCCCUUCCCAGACCUCAGAACUAGAUGAUGGGGAAACAGUAUCAUGUCUCUGAUAUUAAAGGGAUUUUUUUUUUAAUGAGACAAAAUUACCCUGGAAACACUAGAUGUCAUAACAAGACACUAAAAUGUAUCAUAAACCUUCCCCCCGCCCAAAUACCGAGUUUCAGUACAAUCAUGGCUAGAUGGUGGCUGGUGGGGGCUCUGUACUCUGCAUCGUUCAUGCUUUGUCUGUAGCAGGUGUGCCUGUGAGUCACGCGUGCACACGGCCAUCACCUCUCCUCUCUCUCACGACCUCUCGUGAGGCCUGUGGCAUAUCCGAGUUUUUAAAAACUUCUUUCCAUUUUAAUUCUGUAGCAUCUUUGCCCAUUUGCUUAGCUGCUGGCUGUGAAUGCGCUUGUCUGACCCUUGUUGUUCAGGUGGGUAGGAAUAAUUACAUUUUAAAUGAAAUCUCUUCCAGAAGACAGACUACUUCAAUGGGUAAAGGCUUUAACAGCUUGUUUUAUUCAUACUGGGGAUUAAUUACUUGCCACAAAACAAACUGUCUCGAUAAUUUUCCUCUUGGGUUUGGCAGUGCUGUAGCCUUGCAGGCCCUUUAGGAGGGAGCGCUCCCAUCCGUCCUUCCCUUUGCUUUGUGUGACCACAUGCUUUCUGUACCAUUCACUUACUUGGGAAAGAAGUGGACUUAUCUCCUAAUUGUUUUAGAAUUUUGCUUGUCUAUUUAGCUUUCCUUUUUGGAUCUCAUGAUUUAUGGAACAAUAAAUGUCAUUUAAUGCUGUGUAUUAUUUUGAAUUCAUUAUCAGGUUUUAGAAGUGGGGUGAAAGUACUUACAGGCUCCUCAGACUUGAACUUGUGCUGAGCAGCACAAAGUGCUAGGCCGUCUCAGUGAAACUAUACCUGGCCCAUGGCACCAGCAGUCUGCUACUUUGGUUAUAGGAUGUACAGUUCAGUGUAAUAAAUGUUUUCUGAUUGUUUUGUAAACGUGUCACUCAUUUCAAAUCUAAGCUGCACUGUUGUCAUCUGAAGUCACAUGGACUCAAGGGUUGGCCUCGAUGUGCAUGGUGUAAGAUGUUCAUCCCAAUUUCCACAGAGGUGAUGCAACUCAAGACAAGUAGUUACAGUAAGUGCCUGCUGCAUACUUAGAAGAGACAGAUCAGGCUCGAAGUCAUGGUCACUGAGCAUCAAGUCCACCAUCUGCAAUGAGCCACAUCAUUCUAGCUCAGAAAAAAUUCCAUAGUUGUCUCGGGUAUUUCAUAGAAGUGAGUCUCACGAGUCACUGGAGCAGGUCUAGUGCUUACUUAGCAGCUCCUCCAGCAGCCAUGCCCCACCCCCCACCCCCCACACAGCGCCACAGUUAAGUAGCUGUUGUGGUAGUCGUACCCUUCGUAUCACAGUACUCCUUACAAGGAGCCGUUCGCCUGAUGAGUCUCUGGAAUGUGUGUGUAUCUGCUUUCCCUCCCAGAGUGCAUCGGAGACACUGCAUCUAUGCAGAUGCUUCAGUGCUGUCCACCGAGGCAGAAAAAGCUCUUUCUUGCAGUUGUGGUUGGGGUGGUUGCUGGAAGGUUCAGCUACCAUUAUUAAUAUUGAAGGUGGGAGGUCUCAGUGGCACAGAGCAGCAGCACCGUAAUAGUAAAAGACAGCAUCCUGGGACAGGGACAGGAGUGCCUGCAUUUGCAAAAAUCUGACUCCAGUGAGCAAGGUGAGGUGUUGUGAGUCUGAAGCUGCAAAUACGUCAUUCAUUUGACAAGCUUUAAAACAGUUAUGAUUUCUAAAAAUUCAGAGUAAAUAAAAACCACAUCCAUUCUA